GAUGAACGCUGGCGGCGUGCCUAAUACAUGCAAGUCGAGCGAACAGACGAGGAGCUUGCUCCUCUGACGUUAGCGGCGGACGGGUGAGUAACACGUGGAUAACCUACCUAUAAGACUGGGAUAACUUCGGGAAACCGGAGCUAAUACCGGAUAAUAUAUUGAACCGCAUGGUUCAAUAGUGAAAGACGGUUUUGCUGUCACUUAUAGAUGGAUCCGCGCCGGAUUAGCUAGUUGGUAAGGUAACGGCUUACCAAGGCAACGAUGCGUAGCCGACCUGAGAGGGUGAUCGGCCACACUGGAACUGAGACACGGUCCAGACUCCUACGGGAGGCAGCAGUAGGGAAUCUUCCGCAAUGGGCGAAAGCCUGACGGAGCAACGCCGCGUGAGUGAUGAAGGUCUUCGGAUCGUAAAACUCUGUUAUUAGGGAAGAACAAAUGUGUAAGUAACUUUGCACGUCUUGACGGUACCUAAUCAGAAAGCCACGGCUAACUACGUG
rnacentral:rRNA from 1 species